CCUACGGGGGGCAGCAGUGGGGGAUAUUGCACAAUGGGGGAAACCCUGAUGCAGCGACGCCGCGUGGGUGAAGAAGCGCCUCGGCGCGUAAAGCCCUGUCAGCAGGGAAGAAAAUGACGGUACCUGAAGAAGAAGCCCCGGCUAACUACGUGCCAGCAGCCGCGGUAAUACGUAGGGGGCAAGCGUUAUCCGGAUUUACUGGGUGUAAAGGGGGCGCAGACGGCGAUGCAAGCCAGGAGUGAAAGCCCGGGGCCCAACCCCGGGACUGCUCGUGGAACUGCGUGGCUAGAGUGCAGGAGGGGCAGGCGGAAGUCCUGGUGUAGCGGUGAAAUGCGUAGAGAUCAGGAGGAACACCGGUGGCGAAGGCGGCCUGCUGGACUGCAACUGACGUUGAGGCCCGAAAGCGUGGGGAGCAAACAGGAGUAGAUACCCGAGUAGUC
rnacentral:rRNA from 1 species